rnacentral:rRNA from 1 species
UACGGAGAGUGCAAGCGUUGUUCGGAAUUAUUGGGCGUAAAGCGCGUGUAGGCGGUCCGGCAAGUCCGGUGUGAAAGCCCAGGGCUCAACCCUGGAAGUGCACUGGAAACUGCCGAACUUGAGUACCGGAGGGGAAGGUGGAAUUCUCGAGUGUAGAGGUGAAAUUCGUAGAUAUUCGGAAGAACAUCAGUGGCGAAGGCGACCUUCUGGACGGAUACUGACGCUGAGACGCGAAAGCGUGGGUAGCAAACAGG